UACGUAGGGUGCGAGCGUUGUCCGGAAUUACUGGGCGUAAAGAGCUCGUAGGUGGUUUGUCGCGUUGUUCGUGAAAACUCACAGCUCAACUGUGGGCGUGCGGGCGAUACGGGCAGACUGGAGUACUGCAGGGGAGACUGGAAUUCCUGGUGUAGCGGUGGAAUGCGCAGAUAUCUGGAGGAACACCGGUGGCGAAGGCGGCAUCCUGGACCAAUACUGACGCUGAGGAGCGAAAGCCAGGGGAGCAAACGGG
rnacentral:rRNA from 1 species